rnacentral:snRNA from 1 species
GUGCUGGCCUCAGCAGCACAUAUACUAAAAUUGGAAUGAUAUAGACAAGAUUAGCAUGGCCCCUGCUCAAGGAUGACACACAAAAUUGUGAAGCGUUUUAUAUUUUU